rnacentral:rRNA from 1 species
UACGUAGGCAGCGAGCGUUGUUCGGAGUUACUGGGCGUAAAGGGUGUGUAGGCGGUUCUCUAAGUUUGGUGUGAAAUCUCCCGGCUCAACCGGGAGGGUGCGCCGAAAACUGGGGGACUCGAGUGCGGGAGGGGAGAGUAGAAUUCCUGGUGUAGCGGUGAAAUGCGUAGAUAUCAGGAGGAAUACCGGUGGUGUAGACGGCUCUCUGGACCGCCACUGACGCUGAGACACGAAAGCGUGGGUAGCAAACAGG